UACAGCUGGGUAUGCAGUUGCUAAUGGAGAGGCUGCAGCUCCCUGAAUCCCUGGCCAAGCAGGUUUUGAUGGAAACUCUAUUCCUGUGCCAAACAAUCACUGAAAACACUGUUAAAGGACAUUUAUGAGGAAAAUGUUGCAAUUCUCUGGCGUUUUGUACCCUGUUUAACUAUUUCAUGGGGAUAGAACCUGUGACCAUUCGGUUUCCUGCAGCCAUCCUGUGUUUUAAGGAUGCUUCAAAAAAUACCUCCUGAACCCCUCUCCUUCACCAGACUUUGCUGUCCUGCUUUCACAAGACAGAUGCACUGAUGCAUCAGGAGCUGCUGGAGCACAGCAAGCAYGGACAUUUGGCCCUAACAGUGAUGCUUGAAUAAACUGGUCCUAGGACUCUUUACUCCCAGCGAGGUUGAGCAAGGCUCUCAUUUGGAUGGAAACUCAAGGAAACUCAAGCCCUACCCUACCAGCACCUCCUGGAGCUGAAGGAGAUGGCAGUUUCUGGUCCCUAAAACAGCAGAACUGUCCCCAAUUCCCGUGGAAACACCAUGAUAAUGCAUACAGCAACAAGACCUCAACCAAAUCCACGUUCAGGGCUAAGCACAGCCAAAUCACUCUUCCAAGAGAAGCACGAAAAGGCAACCGAUGAGCAAUAAUGCUGCAGUCGCUGCAGCCCUGCACAUGGAUUUGGCGCUAGUGCAGAGCGCUCUUCCCUUGGUCCACAGCUGGGUCAUCUGCACUAAUGAGAGGCAGAUGCCCUGAAGCAGUGAUGAUUUGUUUAGAGGUGGUGGAGCUGUGGCUGAGAUCAAAAGCCUGCAGAGCUGCAAGGUCUGUCAUGUCUCCUGAGGGACGCGAGACCGGCCAAAGACACGAGGAAAAGUCAUCGCCUGCCAACACUUGGAGCUCGAGGACGUUUCUGUAGGAAGUAACGCUGCUAAAACAUCCUCUGCAGCAUGUAAACAAUUUUUCCCUAUUCAGGAUCGUCACAAAUAAAGAAGGGAGCUGUGUAAACAGCUCUGAAUCGCCCUUGCUUGUCUCUCGCUCCUGAGCCGCGGAGCAGAAAGCUCAGUUCGGGAGCCAGUACGUACUCAAACUUCCUUCU